rnacentral:rRNA from 1 species
UAACCUGCCUUGUAGCGGGGGAGUAACUAUUGGAAACGAUAGCUAAUACCGCAUAACAAUGGAUGACACAUGUCAUUUAUUUUGAAAGGGGCAAUUGCUCCACUACAAGAUGGACCUGCGUUGUAUUAGCUAGUAGGUGAGGUAACGGCUCACCUAGGCGACGAUACAUAGCCGACCUGAGAGGGUGAUCGGCCACACUGGGACUGAGACACGGCCCAG